rnacentral:rRNA from 1 species
CCUACGGGAGGCAGCAGUGGGGAAUAUUGCGCAAUCGGCGAAAGCCUGACGCAGCGACGCCGCGUGAGGGAUGAAGGUCUUCGGAUCGUAAACCUCUGUCAGCAGGGAAGAACGGUCACUGUGCUAAUCAGCAGUGAAUUGACGGUACCUGCAAAGGAAGCACCGGCUAACUCCGUGCCAGCAGCCGCGGUAAUACGGAGGGUGCGAGCGUUAAUCGGAAUUACUGGGCGUAAAGCGCUCGUAGGCGGUAUGUCAAGUCAAGGGUGAAGUCCCCGCGCGCAACGUGGGAACUGCCUUUUAAACUGGCAAACUGGAGUGUGUGAGAGGAUAGUGGAAUUCCAGGUGUAGGAGUGAAAUCCGUAGAUAUCUGGAGGAACAUCAGUGGCGAAGGCGACUAUCUGGCACAUAACUGACGCUGAGGAGCGAAAGCGUGGGUAGCAAACAGGAUUAGAUACCCCUGUAGUC